rnacentral:rRNA from 1 species
UGUCGUCAGCUCGUGUCGUGAGAUGUUGGGUUAAGUCCCGCAACGAGCGCAACCCUCAUCCUUAGUUGCCAUCAGGUAAUGCUGAGUACUUUAAGGAAACUGCCAGUGAUAAGCUGGAGGAAGGUGGGGAUGAUGUCAAGUCAUCAUGGCCUUUAUGGAGUGGGCUACACACGUGCUACAAUGGUGUCUACAAUGGGCUGCAAGGUGCGCAAGCCUAAGCUAAUCCCUAAAAGACAUCUCAGUUCGGAUUGUACUCUGCAACUCGAGUACAUGAAGUUGGAAUCGCUAGUAAUCGUGGAUCAGCAUGCCACGGUGAAUACGUUCUCGGGUCUUGUACACACUGCCCGUCACGCCAUGGGAAUUAAC